rnacentral:rRNA from 1 species
GACGAACGCUGGCGGCGUGCUUAACACAUGCAAGUCGAACGGGCCUGUCUUCUUUUUUGGGGGGUGGGUUGAGUGGCGAACGGGUGAGUAUCACGUGAGUAACCUGCCCUUCGGUCCUGGAUAACCGCUUGAAAGGGCGGCUAAUACGGGGUGGUCCGGUUGGUCCGCAUGGGCUGGUCGGGAUAGAUUCACUGUUUUUGGUGUUUCGGCGGGGGAUGGGCUCGCGGCCGAUCAGCUUGUUGGUGGGGUGAUGGCCUACCAAGGCGGUGACGGGUAGCCGGCCUGAGGGUGUGGGCGGCCGGACUGGGACUGCGAUACGGCCCAGACUCCUGCGGGACGCAGCAGUGGGGGGUAUUGCACAAUGGGCGGAAGCCUGAUGCAGCGACGUCGCGUGAGGGAGGGAGGCCUUCGGGUUGUGAACCUCUGUUUCCGGUGGUGAAGGCCCUGUCCGUGUGGUGGGGUUGACGGUAGCCGGGGAUGAAGCGCCGGCUAACUACGUG